GAUUAACGCUGGCGGCAUGCCUAAUACAUGCAAGUCGAACGGAAGCAGCAAUGCUUUAGUGGCGAACGGGUGAGUAACACGUAGGGAACCUACCUAUACGACGAGGAUAACUACUGGAAACGGUAGCUAAAACUGGAUAGGAUCAAUUGAGGCAUCUUGAUUGAUUUAAAGAUCCUUCGGGAUUACGUAGAGAUGGCCCUGCGGCGCAUUAGCUAGUUGGUGAGGUAACGGCCCACCAAGGCGACGAUGCGUAGCUGAGCUGAGAGGCUAAACAGCCACACUGGGACUGAGACACGGCCCAGACUCCUACGGGAGGCAGCAGUAGGGAAUUUUCGGCAAUGGGGGAAACCCUGACCGAGCAAUGCCGCGUGAACGAUGAAGGUCUUCGGAUUGUAAAGUUCUGUGAUUGGGGAAGAAUGGUAUUCUUAGGGAAUGAGGAGUACAUGACGGUACCCGAUUAGAAAGCCCCGGCUAACUAUGUGCCAGCAGCCGCGGUAAGUA
rnacentral:rRNA from 1 species